AGACUCACGGCUGAACCAGGGCGGCAGGACCCAGGAAGCCGGUGCGAAACCGGCGCGGUCCCGCCACUGUGACCAAGCUCCGCUUGGCAGCCAGGAACUGACCUGCCGCCCUUCUCCCACC
rnacentral:sRNA from 19 species